UCAGGCCUAACACAUGCAAGUCGAACGGUAGAGGGGCAACCCUUGAGAGUGGCGAACGGGUGAGUAAUGCAUCGGAACGUGCCCAGUAGUGGGGGAUAGCCCGGCGAAAGCCGGAUUAAUACCGCAUGAGACCUGAGGGUGAAAGCGGGGGAUCGCAAGACCUCGCGCUAUUGGAGCGGCCGAUGUCAGAUUAGCUAGUUGGUGGGGUAAAGGCCUACCAAGGCGACGAUCUGUAGCUGGUCUGAGAGGACGACCAGCCACACUGGGACUGAGACACGGCCCAGACUCCUACGGGAGGCAGCAGUGGGGAAUUUUGGACAAUGGGCGCAAGCCUGAUCCAGCCAUGCCGCGUGCGGGAAGAAGGCCUUCGUGUUGUAAACCGCUUUUGUCAGGGAAGAAAUCUUCUGGGC
rnacentral:rRNA from 1 species